CGGGUGAGUAAUGCGUGACCAACCUGCCCCAUGCUCCAGAAUAGCUCUUGGAAACGGGUGGUAAUGCUGGAUGCUCCAACUUGACGCAUGUCUUGUUGGGAAAGUGUUUAGUGGCAUGGGAUGGGGUCGCGUCCUAUCAGCUUGUAGGCGGGGUAAUGGCCCACCUAGGCUUCGACGGGUAGCCGGCCUGAGAGGGCGGACGGCCACAUUGGGACUGAGAUACGGCCCAGACUCCUACGGGAGGCAGCAGGA
rnacentral:rRNA from 1 species